UGGGGAAUAUUGCACAAUGGGGGAAACCCUGAUGCAGCGACGCCGCGUGAGUGAAGAAGUAUUUCGGUAUGUAAAGCUCUAUCAGCAGGGACGAUAAUGACGGUACCUGACUAAGAAGCCCCGGCUAACUACGUGCCAGCAGCCGCGGUAAUACGUAGGGGGCAAGCGUUAUCCGGAUUUACUGGGUGUAAAGGGAGCGUAGGUGGUUUAAUAAGUCAGGUGUGAAAGCCCGGGGCUCAACUCCGGGAUUGCAUUUGAAACUAUUAAACUAGAGUGCAGGAGAGGUAAGUGGAAUUCCUAGUGUAGCGGUGAAAUGCGUAGAUAUUAGGAGGAACACCGGUGGCGAAGGCGGCUUGCUGGACAAAUACUGACGCUGAGGUGCGAAAGCGUGGGGAGCAAACAGG
rnacentral:rRNA from 2 species